GAGGGCUCAGCCGGUUGUGGAUAGG
rnacentral:piRNA from 1 species